GGCUUCAUGGUCUAGUGGUAUGAUUCCUGCUUUGGGAUAAGCGAAUGUCUUAAAGUUGCAGGAGGCCCCGCGUUCGAAUCGCGGUGGAGCCC